ensembl:lncRNA novel transcript
GAGGAAAAGUAAAAGUAAUUUUGUCAUUUCCUGAAACUUCAAGUUAAACCUUUAAGCUGUUCAUUUCCUAAAAGGGUGAAAACGCGGGCACCCCUCGAGCUAGUUCAUCGCCUUUUAACCUGUUGUUGGAUCUUUCCAGAUCACCACACCACAUCACCCAGCCACUCUGCCCAAUGGGAGGGCAGACAGUGUUCCAGUGUAGGAGGAAGGGGUGUAAGGUGCGGGCAGUUUGUGAGGAGGGCACCAACGAGAGCUACUGUGAGAAAGUCUGCAUGGUCAAAAAGUGGAUUACCAAGAACAAAGCAUCAUAAUGUUGUCCAGUGGACCCCAGGUGCACAGCAGCUCCCUGAGGUACACAGAAGCUCUUGCUCACCUGCCACUUCCAGCCUUGGUAUUUUCCAGUUGUCGGGUAAGGAGUUUAGCAAUGGCGGUGAAGCUGUUGCUCAUGCGGAAGAUGUCUCUGCUCUGAGGGCCCAAGAUUGA